UACGUAGGGUGCAAGCGUUAAUCGGAAUUACUGGGCGUAAAGCGUGCGCAGGCGGUUAUAUAAGACAGUUGUGGAAAUCCCCGGGCUCAACCUGGGAACUGCAUCUGUGACUGUAUAGCUAGAGUACGGUAGAGGGGGAUGGAAUUCCGCGUGUAGCAGUGAAAUGCGUAGAGAUGUGGAGGAACACCGAUGGCGAAGGCAGCCCCCUGGGCUAACACUGACGCUCAUGCACGAAAGCGUGGGGAGCAAACAGG
rnacentral:rRNA from 1 species